ensembl:lncRNA
CAGUACAGGGCAGGUUAGGGCAGGGCAGGGCAGUACAGGGCAGGUCAGGGCAGUACAGGGCAGUACAGGGCAGGGCAGGACAGGUCAGGACAGGACAGGUCAGGGCAGGGCAGGGCAGGGCAGGUCAAGGCAGUACAGGGCAGGUCAGGGCAGUACAGGGCAGUACAGGGCAGUUCAGGUCAGGGCAGGGCAGUACAGGGCAGUGCGGGGCAGGUCAGGGCAGUACAGUGCAGGUCUGGUCAGGGCAGUACAGGGCAGGUCAGUACAGGUCAGGGCAGGUCAGGGCAAUGCAGGGCAUUACAGGGCAGGUCAGGGCAGUACAGUACAGGGCAGGUCAGGGCAGUACAGGGCAGGUCAGGGCAGUACAGGGCAGUACAGGUCAGGGCAGGGCAGUACAGGUCAG